ACACUAGGAUUGCCUCAGUAUCGGCGAGAGAAGCGGCAAAAGCCCAACCUGUAAAUCUGCAGUCUUCGGCUGCCGAAUUGUAAUCUACAGGGUACAGCUGACAGAUUCUCUAACGCAUAAGUUCCUUGAAAUUGGGCGCCAGAGAGAGUGAAAGCCUCGUCUUUGGUGUUGGAGAGUCCUAGGCUUAAGCCAAAGAGUCGGGUUGUUUUGAACUGCAGCUCUAAGUGGGAGAUAAACUUCUUCUAAGGCUAAAUACUAACGGGAGACCGAUAGCGAACAAGUACUGUGAAGGAAAGAUGAAAAGAACUUUGAAAAGAGAGUUAACAGACUUGAAGUCGUUGAGGAGGAAGCGGUUUAAAUGAAUUAUUCGGCUGAUUGCUAAUGUUAAGCCUAUCUGUUUCAGGGCGUGAGCACUGUCAAAAGGCUCUGUUCUGAAUCCAGGGAAGCUUGCAGGCCAGUCAGUUUGAUAGACAGAAUGGGGUUGCUUCGUUUCAAAAGCUGCAGAGUUGACUUCGGUCGGACUCAGUGUGCCUGUUACGAAGCAGUCUGAGGGGCUACGGCGAUUCUGUCAAAAUCAUUUAAACUGGCCCGUCUUGAAACACGGACCAAGGAGUCUAACAUAUAUGCAAGUGUGCUGGUGCAAAAACCAACACGCGGAAUGAAAGUGAGCGAUGCCAAAUCCCUUGCAGCAUCGGCCGACCAUGAUUCUUUGAAGAAAGGUUUGAGUAUGAGCAUAUCUGUUAGGACCCGAAAGAUGGUGAACUAUGCCUGAGUAGGGUGAAGCCAGGGGAAACUCUGGUGGAGGCUCGUAGCGAUACUGACGUGCAAAUCGUUCGUCGAACUUGGGUAUAGGGGCGAAAGACUAAUCGAACCAUCUAGUAGCUGGUUCCCUCCGAAGUUUCCCUCAGGAUAGCUGGGACAAAUAGCAGUUUUAUCAGGUAAAGCGAAUGAUUAGAGGCCUCAGGGCUAUAAUGGCCUUGACCUAUUCUCAAACUUUAAAUUGGUAAGAACUCUCGGCUUCUUAAUUGAGUGCGGGAGGUAGAAUGCGUGUCCUUAGUGGGCCAUUUUUGGUAAGCAGAACUGGCGACGAGGGAUGAACCUAACGUUGAGUUAAGGUGCCCAACUGUACGCUCAUCAGAUACCACAAAAGGUGUUAGUUCAUUUAGACAGCAGGACGGUGGCCAUGGAAGUCGGAAUCCGCUAAGGAGUGUGUAACAACUCACCUGCCGAAUGAACUAGCCCUGAAAAUUGAUGGCGCUCAAGCGUACGACCGAUACUCAACCAUUGCAACGAGAGUGUGUUGCAAUGAGUAGGAGGGCGUGAACGUUGUAUCGAAGCCUUUGACGUGAGUCUGGGUUGAACGGCGUUUAGUGCAGAUCUUGGUGGUAGUAGCAAUUAUUCAAAUGAGAACUUUGAAGACCGAAGUGGAGAAGGUUUCCAUGAGAACAGCAAUUGGUCAUGGGUGACUCGAUCCUAAGACAUUGGGUUAUCCCUUGCAAAUGGGCUUUGCCUGCAGUCGAAAGGGAAUGAGGUUAAUAUUCCUCAAGCUGGAUGUGGAUACUGUAUGGUAACAUAACUGAGCUCAGAAACGCCUGCGUGAGCCCCUGGAAGAGUUUUCUUUUCUUUUUAACAGGCCAAUGACCUUGAAAAUGGAUUAUCCAGAGCUAAGGUUAUAUGUCUGGAAGAGCAUCUCGCCUUUUGAGAUGUCAGGUGCGCUCAUGAUGGUCCAUGAAAAUCUGAGUAAGAGAUUUAUUCCACACCAGGUCGUACCAACAACCGCAUCAGGUCUCCAAGGUU
rnacentral:rRNA from 1 species